GUUCUAUAGAAGAAACUAGCUCGCAGCACCGCAAGUUGGGGCUUCCUCUUCUCUCUUCUCCGCAAAUGCAAUUCCCCGAACUCAUAUACACAUGAUUUGCACCAACAAUUGUUUUGAAGAAUCGAAGGGCAACUUCUGUGACUGAGUGCGACCAAAGUCACAGCCACUAAAUUUGAUGGAUUCUGAAACUUCGAGGCGGUGGUGGGCUAUAGAGGAAGGGAGAAAGAUGUGGAAACUUGCUGCCAUGAGGAGGUGGGGGUGGAGACUUGUACACAUAUGGAGGAGGUGGUGAAGGAGAUGGAGGUGGAGGAGACUUAUAGACAUAAGGAGGAGGUGGUGAAGGAGAUGGAGGGGGAGGAGA